CGGCUUCCCUAAAGCCGCGGGGAACGCAGACGCUGAGCGUGUUUCUGGGCGGCGCGGGGUCUGGCGAAGCGGAGCGCCCCGUGCCUCGUCCUGGAGGGAGUAUCGGCUUCCUCGAGCCCGGGACGGGACGCAGCGGCGAGCGCGGUAGUGCGGUCAUGUCAGCCCAGAGCUGCUCGGCGCGAGGCCGUCAUCCCGUCAGCGGCUCUGAGGAUGCGGUUGGAAAGAUCAGAGAACACAAUCCUGGAGUAUUGGCAUCCUUUUGCUGAGAAGAAGUUGGUUUCAGGACCUUCCAGAUGCAAAUAAGACGGAUCCCAAGGGCAGCGCUUGAGGAACUCUGGUAGCUGCCUCUGUCCAGCUUGGUGCUUUGCUUUCAACAUUUGAUGAGAAGCAUCUACUCUUUGUAAACUGACAUGGAGACCACUGUUCUGGCAUGUAUUUUUAAAUGAGAUUUUAAGAUGCAAUUUGUAAACAGAAGAAGCAGAGAUGGGAUAAAUGUUUGUUUUGUCAAAGACAUUAGAAUCCUUACUUAAGGCUCUAAAGCUAUUUUGAUCCAUCAAAGUUUCCCCUGCUCCCUCAGACUGCUAAUAUUUGCAGGCAAUUCACUACUUUAUAUGAGAGCAUUUUAACAGCCUCAGAAAAAUCAAAGACAAAUAAACAAUAUUAAUACUAAGAUUAAGUAUAAAGAAGUAUAAUAUAAUUUUUUGUUUCAUUUGAUUUAAAGUUCAGAUUAGAGGACAUCAGAAAACCUACAGCUUUUCUCCUCUUUCGUCCAAGUUUGAAUAAAAACUAUUAAGGUAAAGCGAAAAGCCUUUGUGAGAAAGAAGGUUGUCAGGUUCAUUCAGAUCCAGAAAUUGAAAUACUUCUCAGAACAGUAAGGCAGCAACCCUAUUAACUGUUUCAGUUUAAUCUGCAAAUCACAAAGCUGCAUCAGAACUAGCAACAAUUUAUGUAAGUCUUUACAGUUUCAGUAUACAAGGCAAGUCAUAAAGCUAAACUAACACCUACUAUCUGCUUUCUCUCAUUUCUGAGAUUGUAAACUGUUUGAGGUAGGGCUAGUUUUAAGAUUAUUCUGUUUCCAUAGUGCUUGGAAAAAUGGGCUCUUUUUCUUAGUUGGCGCUAUUGUAGAAAAAAACAUUUCUGAAGAUGUAUGGACAAAAACUGCCCUGUUGUCAAUGAAUCAUGGAUACUAGUAAUGCUUUACAUAUUUUCUCUUAGACUCCACAUUCUAUAAAGAUUUUUUUACAAAAAAUAUCUUCCCCUGUAAAUAACAAAGUACAUGUAUUUGCUGUACAAAGAGCUCAGUUAAUGUAAUGACUAAAUCCAAUUCACAAAUACACUAAAAAUUUAGUCAGGUUUUAGAAACUAUUUUUAAUUCCUUCCAUUGUACACAGA